UACAGAGGUGGCAAGCGUUGUUCGGAAUUACUGGGCGUAAAGGGCGCGUAGGCGGCCUUCUAAGUCGGACGUGAAAGCCCCAGGCUUAACCUGGGAACUGCGUCUGAUACUGGACGGCUUGAGUAUGGGAGAGGAACGUAGAAUUCCAGGUGUAGCGGUGAAAUGCGUAGAUAUCUGGAGGAAUACCGGUGGCGAAGGCGGCGUUCUGGACCAUUACUGACACUGAAUCGCGAAAGCUAGGGGAGCAAACGGG
rnacentral:rRNA from 1 species